GUUCCUACGGGAGGCAGCAGUGAGGAAUAUUGGUCAAUGGCCGAGAGGCUGAACCAGCCAAGUCGCGUGAGGGAUGACGGCCCUACGGGUUGUAAACCUCUUUUGUCGGGGAGCAAGACCCGCCUCGUGCAGGCGGAGCGAGAGUACCCGAAGAAAAAGCAUCGGCUAACUCCGUGCCAGCAGCCGCGGUAAUACGUAGGGGGCGAGCGUUAUCCGGAUUUACUGGGUGUAAAGGGAGCGUAGACGGUUCUGCAAGUCUGAAGUGAAAGCCCGUGGCUUAACCGCGGAACGGCUUUGGAAACUGG
rnacentral:rRNA from 1 species